rnacentral:sRNA from 1 species
GAUGGGUAUGGUGGCACAUGCCUGUAAUUCCAGCAACUUGGGAGGCUGAGGCAGGAGGAUUCUAAGAUUGAGGCUAGCCUCAACAAUUUAGUGAGACCCUGUCUUAA